rnacentral:rRNA from 1 species
AGUGAACGCUGGCGGUAGGCCUAACACAUGCAAGUCGAACGGCAGCACAGUAAGAGCUUGCUCUUACGGGUGGCGAGUGGCGGACGGGUGAGGAAUACAUCGGAAUCUACUUUUUCGUGGGGGAUAACGUAGGGAAACUUACGCUAAUACCGCAUACGACCUACGGGUGAAAGCAGGGGAUCUUCGGACCUUUCGCGAUUGAAUGAGCCGAUGUCGGAUUAGCUAGUUGGCGGGGUAAAGGCCCACCAAGGCGACGAUCCGUAGCUGGUCUGAGAGGAUGAUCAGCCACACUGGAACUGAGACACGGUCCAGACUCCUACGAGAGGCAGCAGUGGUGAAUAUUGGACAAUGGGCGCAAGCCUGAUCCAGCCAUACCGCGUGGGUGAAGAAGACCUUCGGGUUGUAAAGCCCUUUUGUUGGGAAAGAAAAGCAGCAGGUUAAUACCCCGCUGUGCUGACGGUACCCAAAGAAUAAGCACCGGCUAACUUCGUG